UACGUAGGGUGCAAGCGUUGUCCGGAAUUAUUGGGCGUAAAGAGCUCGUAGGCGGUCUGUCGCGUCGGAUGUGAAAACUUUCAGCUUAACUGGGAGCUUGCGGUCGAUACGGGCAUCACUGGAGUUCGGCAGGGGAGACUGGAAUUCCUGGUGUAGCGGUGAAAUGCGCAGAUAUCAGGAGGAACACCGGUGGCGAAGGCGGGUCUCUGGGCCGAUACUGACGCUGAGGAGCGAAAGCGUGGGGAGCGAACAGG
rnacentral:rRNA from 1 species